rnacentral:siRNA from 1 species
UAAUUGGUGUCUCGUGAUUUUCA